rnacentral:lncRNA from 1 species
ACUUCAAUGAUAUAAAUACUAUAUAAUUUGUUAAUAAAUCUAGAAAAUGAGUCAUCUUACUUACGUCAUACGUACUCCAAUAAAUUCAUAUAAUUUUAUAAAUUUCUUUUUAGAAUCUUCAAUUGAUAGAAGAUUGUUGAUCCUAGGAUUUGAUUUUAAUAAAUCAUAAAAUAUUUGAGUAUAUAAUAUAACUAACAGUUCCAUAAAGUCUAUGUUUAAGGAAGAUUAUAAAAGCAUCAAAAAAUGAUUCUUAAUGGACAAAUAAAACUCAAAUGGGAAGUAUCUGGAUUCCUUCUUGCUAUGAAAAGAUAUAAAGAUCAAAGUGGAAGAGAAUCCCAAAAGGUGGAAUAAAAAAGCUUCUUAAAUGGAAAAAAAUUCAAAAAUUUUCAGUUAAAGGUUGCUCGAUUCGACUCAAGUUGAAUCCAAAUGGACUUGAGCUGAAAAAUAGAAGAAAAAAGAGUUCUAGUAUGCAAAUAUUCAAGACGGCACACUAUCAAGUUGACUCAAGUGCUAUCCGAGGUGACUCCAAUGAAGGAUGGCUGAAAAAUAUUUUUUUAGAGUCAAAAAAAUGAAUAGACUCACUGGAUUCCAGUGGACUCGUAGACUACUCGAGUCGAUUCAAAUUGUUUGAGUCCAAGUUCUUAGAAAUGAUAGAAGACAAUUUUUUGGACUUCUGACUAGAGUGGACCUAGAAUUGGCUAAGUGGACUUGAAGGGUAUUUGAGUCAACUUGAAUUUUUUUCGAGUCAACUCGAAGUCUAACGACUAGUUUUACAGAAUUUUCAGAAUAGUUCAGUAUUUUCAAUAUUCUAUUUCAGAUUUCAAUGGUUAAAAAUAAUUUUUUGAACUUUCAAAUAGUAUUAAAUAUCCACCAAACUCAUUGAAGAUCAUUAAUACACAAAGAGAAUCAAAGAAAAAGUGAGAGAUAACAAAAAAAAGGUCAAGAGCAUUGAGUAGUGUGCAUUUAUUCUUCAACUAUCUCAAACAUCAAAUCAAAAGAGCUUUUUUAGCAAGAAGAUAAGCUUCACCUCUAAAAAACAUCAUCAAAAAGAGAUUCUUCGAGCUUCAUCGAUAUUCUUUCGCUCAUUAAAAGAACUUUUAAAGUUUUAUUAUCAUUAUUUCUAUCUUUCUAUUAUAACUAGCUUCAAUUGAGGAUUAAAGCUAGGUGAUAGGCUCAUCCAAGCUUUAUAACUAGAUUGUAGGUUAUGGAUUGAUUUGGGUUAGAUUUUGUUUGGUGAUCCCAUGCAAAACCAAUUAGAUUUUGGAUAGUAAGGCCAAAAAACUAUAUGACUGUAAUCUUGGAUAGAUUAUAAUAAAAAUUUUUAUGAAUUCUUAGGGCAU